AGACAUUUUUAGUGGUGACAGCUGGCCCUGUGGAACUCGGCUGAGUGCGGGAAGGUUUUUAAAAAGGGAGUGAGCCAAACCGCCGCCACUUUAAAUAGCAGCGCGGCGUGGAGAGGCGGGAGCGUGCGCGGGAGCCCGGCCGGGCCCCCAUGCUCAGGCUCCAUGCGAUGCGGGGAGGCCCGAGCCGCGAGGACCCCGGAGCUCAGUGGUCCCAGCUCCACGUCUGACCGAGGGAGACACUGAGGUCCAGAGGGAGCAGAUGUCACACCGUCAUCUUCUCCAAGAUCACGUGUGACACAUCGAGAAACAUGCUUAUUUUUACACGAGAAAAGCUCCAGUUAAUAAUAAUAUCUACUCAUUCGUGGAAUUACUUACUACAUGCCGGACUCUAACGUCAACUGGGGUGCUCCUCCUGCAUUCUGUGGGUCGCCUCAAUGUAGCUUGAAGCCACAGUGACGACCCAGAAUCCAGGCUGCACGUUGCCGCAGAACCUCAGCUUCCUCCCGGGUCAAGGAAAAGGUGAGCGGGAAGGUGGUGGGUACAGGGACAGGGUGGACCACUGUCCUACCUGCCCCGGACCCUGGACCGCCUGGUGCCCAAGCAGAGAGGAGGUGCCGCUGACAGAUGAGGAAGGAGGGACACACGGGCUGUCUGCUCCUCACAGCCCUCGAAUCCCCGAGUCCAGAGAAUCCCGGGCAGCCAGCUGCUGGCCGCCCAGCAGGAGAACGCCGGAGGGAAACGCACGGCGAGAAGGCCUCUUCCCCAAACAGGAACCCGAACCCCGACCGGCCCCAGACCCGAGGCCGACUUACAGGAAGCACAGGGAGCGGAGAGCAGCCAGGAGCCCGUGGGGCAGUGGGCGAAACCCGGACCGAGCGAGGCUCUCCCGGACCAACGCAGACACGGGGCAGGGAAAGCAGCACGGGCGGGGGCUACUGAAGAGGAGAUUUCCAACACCUCAGCUUCGGCGCGUGGCCCCACUCAGAUCCUGACUCCAAUGGAAAUGAUCACAUGUGGGCGUGUAUUGUGUAUAUUUUAUAUGAUAGGAAUCAUGUUAAAUACACAAACAUAAUUACAUAUUAAACAUCGAGCACAUGAAUGCACUAAUUACAUUAAAUAAAACCAUAA